rnacentral:lncRNA from 1 species
UUCAGUUUCUCCAAUAUUCUUAUAAAUAACUUCUUCAUAUUUUACAAAUUUAAUCAAGGAUUUGAUCCAAUCCCACUAAAAAACUAUUUUGUACCAACUCUUCAAAGUCCUUUCACCUUUCCUAGCUCCAGGGAAGAAUAAGCUCAGUCCUUACUCAGCCUGUCUGUUGCUGAGUUUGUUCACAGACAUCUUCCUUACUUGAGUAGAUUGCUAAAGAAAUCAAGAAGUCUAGUUGUAAGCCACUUGUGCAAUUCACAGUGGCAUCUGCAUCAAGCCGAGGAGCGCGAUAAACAAGAGACGGCCACAGACAUAAAGGCAAGCAGAUUACAAACUACAAUUUCAAUCCUUGCCAGUUUUAUUGCGCCUGGCUGGCUUGGACCAUUGCCAGUUUCAUUACCAAUGAUCAGCAGCUUCCUUCAUCAUGUCCCUAUGAUGUUUUAUCCAAGAAGAGCCCCUUCCUUGUAUAAAGCAAAUCACCAAAACCACCACGUGAUGCUCCAAGUUACUUAUUUGAAACAAGCAAAACAUCAAGCUGGCUGCAUAUGACAAGUCCAAAACAUCAAUAGCUUGACUGGAAAAUCUGCCAGGUAAAGCAAUUAAAGUAGAAUUGAAUUGCAAAAGCAAGCAGUUCUUUCAACAGGCAUAUCCUCUACUAGAGACGCCUCUCCUCAGCUUCAAUCCUUUCUUUACCCACUGGUUUAAGUAUUGCAAAAAUAGCACAUAUAACCCUAAGUGAACCAUUUACCAAAACCAAGAUGACGAUAUUACAUUCAAAGGAUUCCACAAUAAUGUUAUCUCUUAUAAGAAAGAAAUGGUAACCUGAUUGGAAAACUUGUUUCUCUCUUCCAGAGUUUUCAGAGUACCAUAUCUUUUGUCUUUCAUUUCUAAUAACUCUCAUGGCCUGGGAAGAUUAUAUAUCAGGCACUUUGAUUAAUUAAUUAAUAGCAGUUCAAUUCAAGUUGUUCCAGACUCCGUGACCAAUCAGACUCAAUAUUAAGCUGGGAAAAAAAAAUUAAGCGAUUCAAGCAGGGACUUGAAUGCAUUCUUUGCUUCCUACAGUUUGAUUUUUUUUAAGGAAUAUAAGCUGCAUUCACAAAAGUAAAUGAGUUUCUCAUUCCUAAUUAACUUCUGUAGUAGGAUGAACAAGUGCCACUUACCUCAGACAUUGUUCACACUGUAAAGUGCAGAGAAAGAAUUAGAUCACUGGGCAAUAUUGGUAUUGUGGGGUUCAAAGAUAUUUCUAUUCACAUAGUUUAUACCUCUUAAAAGAAGUUGGUCUCAGAUGUAUAUCCAAAUCUGAGAUUUUGCUAUUCUUUUGUUCUACAUGCUGGAUAUCUACUUCAGGAUCACCUUUUAUGAUAUUUUUUCACCAUUGGACAUGCGAAAUAAGAUGUAUAAAAAUUCAUAUGCAAAAAUGUGAGUGGGAUAUACGUCUGAAUCAACCUAUCAGUCUCUACUUCAGUAUGCAGGUUUAUGUUUGGAACUAAAAGACCAUUUCUUCGUUUCCUCCAUAACUUAUGCAGAUAGAGUGUUCAUAUGCCUCAUGCAUAUCCUUUUCCAGCUAAAACAUUCUUGCUUUUAUUAAGAGAUAUCAUUCUUUUCCCUCUAGUGUAUUAAAGGUACAUCUGUUACUAAUUAAAAUUUAAAUGACCAGUGUCUAGACUGUAGGUAUAUACUGUACCAAGGAAACAACAUAACUAAGACAAGAGGCACGCAGUAACAAAUCAACCUACUGGUGUAUGACUAGCUUGAACAUUUCUUUAUUAAUUCUGUUUUGUUUUACAAUUGCUUGCCGAAGUUAAAUUUUAUUGUCUUCUGCCUGUAUGUAAUUCAGGAAGCAAAUUCCCAGAAUAAUUAUUGGGCUUACACCAUACUACCUCUUAUGCUUUAGAAAAAAAUGACUGAUUAUUAUCUAAGCUGCAUGUUUAGUUAAAUAUUAAAAGCUAAACUGUACCAUAUACUACUAAUACAUGCACCAUGUAAACAAAAGUUAUCCUAUGACCAUUUGGUUGUUGUGCUGAGUCUAAAAAAAAUACAAACGCGGCAGGUAACAAACUUGGUCUUAUUUUCAGAUUAAAAAAAUGUAAAGAGCACUUUAUAUGUCCUGAAAGCGAAUAGUACUGGCUUACCUCAUUGGUCCUCCAAAUCAAAUUUCACCAUUUUGUCAGCUGCCAACUUUUGGAGUUGCUCAGCACCAUGAUCCACUUAGUGCUUGGCAACUCAUGCUCCUCCAGUCCUCCCCAUCAAAUUCACCUUUUUGUCAGCGGCCAAUUCAUUAGUACGAACACCAACCACCCUCGUAAGAACCAUUGUCUGUAAUGCAAUAAGCAAACAGUCAUCGGUGCACUGCAUUGGUUACAUAAAUCAGCAGGAAAAUCAUUUAGCUUCAUUUCAGACUUGCAAAGGCUGCUCCUACAGAAACAUGUGAAAGUACCUCAUUUCUCAUUCCUGAGAUAAUGUCUUUGCUGCUUGCAUACUAAUGCGUUGAUUGAUGUCAGCUUACAGCUUAGGACUUUGAACAGAAACCAGAGAAUUGAUAGAUGAAGUUAGAGAUCUUCCGGGGUUUCUCAAAUUCCAUCUCUGGGUCAGUGACAGGAAUAAACGUAGGACAGCCAUGUAACACAUCAGUAACAGUGGUUCAACACAACCUCCACCAUUAGAAGCAUAUUCAGUGUAUACUUGCAAUACAAUUGAUUAAAUGAUUGCUUAGUUCUCCUGUGGGAACAACAGGAACAACAUUUUGAUAUUGGAAGUUGGAACUGCCUCUUCAGUGCAUUGAUCCUGCAAAAGUAUGUGAAAACUUGAGUCACCAUUAUGAUCAUAACAGCUUAUAACAUGGCAUGUCAUAUAUAAGAUAACAGGGAAGAGUUUCCCACCAGCUAAGCACAGCAGGCAGCAGCUUCAUUUACACACUUCCAUCUUGUCUCAGAGAUAAAAGCAACAGCAGAGGAUAUUUUUAUACUGCACAGCAGGUGCUCUGUAUUCUCAUUUAAGAUUCGAAAUGUACAAGGGGGUACUAAAGGAAAAACAAAAUCCAGUCGCAAAACAGGGCUAUGAUGUGGUGAAAGGACCCUCCAGCAAAUGGAAGUGAACUUCGAUGAGGUUAGCAACAUCUAGUUGAGGAUGAAAUCCUGGAGCGCAGUCGAUCAGGUUACAUACAGACACCACAACAACAUUAUUGACCUGACAGAGGGGAAGUCCAGGUGAUAUAAGUUUGCAGCUAGGAAAGCAGCGAUGCAGUUAAUGAGGUUUGGGUGUUUUUAUUUCUCCACAAACAGCUCAUCAUGCAUGUUUCUUGACCUGUGGUAUGACAACUGAUGAGCUGAUGGAGUUAUCGGAAUCAGAGUCGAGAUAUGGAUGCAUGGUUCUAGAAUAGGGAAACAAUAUUGGCAUAAAUAUUUAUUCCUCUGUUAUCUGAGUUUUCAUGAGCAGAACUCUUUUUUUAGUUGGAGCAGAACAUUUUUUUAGCUUAUCCUUGUAACCAGAGAAACACGUAUCCUUCACCCAUUCCACAAGAAUAAAUAUGAGUAAUUCUCUUUGCCGAUGCCUAUGGUACUAACAAGUAUGCAAGAUCGAGAGCACCUAUUCCCUGAACAUGUAUUUUUUUUCCCUAAGCAAUCUAUUUAACCGGGAACAAUAUGUAGCAAUAAUGACCCAAAGUAGAACAUGGUCAUUACACGAGCAAGCAAAACAUUUAAAUUUGAAAGCAUACCAUUUCCAUGGAUAAGUGGCUUGCAGCCUCGGUAUCGAGCUCUGAGAGAGAAAGGGUUCCACACUGAGUAUGACAUGAAGCAACUCAUCCGCAGGCCGCAGCUCCAAGCCAAACUUCAACUUGGGAUAAAACAUCAUCGGAGUUCUCCUUGGGGAGUGGGUCCGCCUUAUCGGGAGUCUAAUCUCUCCUCAUGCAUGUGCGAUUAGCUGUUGCACAGCUCCGAAUCAUUCGUCCCACACGACCUAUUGGAGAGNNNNNNNNNNNNNNNNNNNNNNNNNNNNNNNNNNNNNNNNNNNNNNNNNNNNNNNNNNNNNNNNNNNNNNNNNNNNNNNNNNNNNNNNNNNNNNNNNNNNNNNNNNNNNNNNNNNNNNNNNNNNNNNNNNNNNNNNNNNNNNNNNNNNNNNNNNNNNNNNNNNNNNNNNNNNNNNNNNNNNNNNNNNNNNNNNNNNNNNNNNNNNNNNNNNNNNNNNNNNNNNNNNNNNNNNNNNNNNNNNNNNNNNNNNNNNNNNNNNNNNNNNNNNNNNNNNNNNNNNNNNNNNNNNNNNNNNNNNNNNNNNNNNNNNNNNNNNNNNNNNNNNNNNNNNNNNNNAGCAAGUCCUGCAACAGAGACAAAGUGCAAACCCAAAAGAAACAGCAAAACAUGGCUGGCGAGCGACCGUGCAGGCUUCCGCCGAACAUCAAGAACAACAUCAUCUCGCAGUCCUGAUGAGUAGUGCCCACGGCUGGAGUGUGCGGCACCUGGGGUAAAACAGCUGACAGGCAGAAAAAUGGCUGGGGAAAGCUGCUAAGAGUCAGCAAACAGAGUUUGGCAUCACCAUGCCAUGCAGGCAUUACAUCGAGCACCUAGUGGGCAGCGCCCAUGGCUGGGGUCUGUAGAGACUAGCGGAGGCACCAACAGCUUCCUCUUCUUCAAGAAAAGCGCAAGGUCGGCACCCUGCGGGCAAGGCUGCUCCACCACGGCCACGCUUGGCCGCACGGGACCUGACGGAGAGGUCGCCGCCGUCGUCUGACUCCACCCCCCGCAGCCAUGGGCUCUCCCCCCGCUACCGAGAGCAUUGCAGCAGACUCAAAACUGCAGCCAUCUCCAGUUGACGCGCAGGGCAGGCACAGCGGAGGGCGUGGGUUUGUGCGUGGAGGCGGCCCCACACCACACGGUGGUCGCGUCGGCACCGCGCCUCGGCCGCUGGCAGGGGGGAGGAAGAAGAGGGGGAAAACGUUCCGCUUCCCCCGAAUGAAAGCGUAUUCCGCGAACCAACCAACAGAAAACUAGUCGUUCGAAAGCAGCGCGCCCUCCGCCGCGCGGCCUCGACUUGGGCUCCCUUCUCUUCUCUCCGGCGAGCCACGCCAGCUGGCCGAUUCGAGAAUCAGCUGAGCGGUUACAAUCUCUCGAGUCCCCCCUCUCUCUCAGCAGCGCGCCACCAUUCGCAACAGCCAACACCGCCGAUUCCCCCGGCCGCCCGUCCCGCCGUCGCCAUGGACAGGCCACCGGUGAGCCGUCCCUCCUUCCCCGCCGGCAACCGCUACGCCGCCGUGGAUGGAUAUGGCGGGGGCUACGGCCACCGCCUCGCUUCUUCACGGGGCCAGCCCGGAGCUCCCUACGGUGUCGCCGCACCCGCACAGGUUCGUCCCCUCGCCUCGCCGCACGGGCUCGGCCCGCCGUCCCGGCCUCUCGUCGCGGGAGACUUCAGCGGCAAAGGCGAUGGUCUACUGGGCCCCGGUCCCGGCCCCGUCCUCUACCGCCCCGGCAACGCCAGCAGCCGCCCCUUCCUCCCCCUCAACGACUACGCCAGCGACCCAAGCAGCGGCAACUCCAGCAGCCGCCCCUUCCUCCCCCUCAACAACUACGCCAGCGACCCAAGCAGCGGCAACUCCAGCAGCGGCUCCUUCCUCCACCUCAACAACUACACUGGGAACUCAGGCACGGCAGCCAGCACGCCCUUCCCCCCCGUCGAGCAUACCGGAGCCUUCGACGGUUCGGGAGUGGUCACCAUUGACCUCGAGAAUUCUGUGCAAGUCUUCAACACCAUCAAGCGCAAGGUGCAGAAGAGGAGCGGCCACCUCUACAUCGGCCUUGACCUCGAGUACUGCGCAAGCUCCGCCACUGACCUGGACCAUCGCCCGUUCUGCCCCAACGACUGGUAUGAGUACCUGAAGAAGUAUGUCAACGAAGGUGCGCUUGUCCAAAUUGGUCCUGCUCUAGCGUUCGAGGGUCCGGUACCAUCUCCUGUGGAGGCAUACCAGGUGAAUGUGCAUAUUGAUGUCCAAUCCGGUGGAUAUCACCCAUCUGCAGUCGAUUUCCUGGAGAGCCAGGGGCACAAGUUGGCAGAGUAUAGGGACAGGGGCGUGAUGCCAGAGUGGCUAUUUGCAGAUGUGCUUAGCCACUUGCCCUUCGGUGAUGAUUCUGUAACCUGGAUCACCUUUCAUGGAGACAGGGAUGUGGGGUUCCUUCUCAGGUUGCUUAUUGCCGGAGGCAGAGGAACAUUGCCCUCAGACAAGCUCACAUUUCUACAUGUGUUUCGUGACAAAUUUCCAUUGUUCUACGAUGUCAAGGUGCUUGCUCAGCUAGUGCAGCCAAGGUUUGCUGGCAAGCUAACCAAGUUGACAAAGUUGCUUGGUGUACAGAGGCAAGGAGAGGAACACUUUGCAGGGUCCGACGCUCUGCUGACACUUGGCUACUUCAACAAGAUUGUGGAGAUCUCGGCCAAGACUAACAUAGUGUCCAGAAUGGGUUUGCUAUCUGGUCUGGAGGAGCUAGAGCUUUCCAUGACUUGCGGGAAAUCAGUGAACGAUUCUGGCAUCAAUGUCUUAAAGGUUACGGCGCAUAACUACGAUGAGGAGGCAGCACGGAUCUCUGACCUUGUGGGGAACAAUUUUCAGUUCGUCGCAAUGCAGGUAGAUUCCUGUCUUUCUUAGUUACAAAUAAAAUUGUUCUGACUCAUGAAUUCAUGCAUGCUUGUUGUUUUACUUGUGUUUACAUGCUUGUUGAUUAGUCACAGCUGACUAAUCUAAACUUCUGCACUAGGUACUCUUACCAGCGUCUCAAGACAUCCUAGGUACCUCUGCUGGAGCUCAGUCCAGCUAUGAGAGAGUGAAGAAAGUGCUGGAUAGUGUUGACAGGUUUGAUCUGCUCAUAGCGUUCAUGAACGCUGAAGGGGUCUUGGGGCAUGGGCGGGUGUGGCAAUUCAGCUUCAAUCUGAGGCUGGAUGGUGCUGAUCAAGAUGCAUACGUGUGUCCCCGUCGGCUGGCUUGCGUUUUAGCUUCUUCUGGAGUGACCCACCGCCCCAAUACGGUCUGGGUCACAGUACAUGGGGCGUAUGGCAUUGCCUGCCUUCUCAAGGCUUUUCUUUCCCCAGUUGACCUUCCUCACGCCUACAGAGAUUUUAUCAUCAGCCGUGCUGCUUGUUUUCCAUGCCUUUAUGACAUUGGCUUGCUUGCCAAUUCAGCACGAGACUUGGCGCUUCUGCCUACAGGAUGUAACGGUGGACUGGGCCACAUAUCCAGUGCGCUUGGUGUCCUCGAGGAUCCCUGUGAGGUGGUAACUCUCCUACGAACCUUCAAUGCAUUCCAAGCAAGACCAGAUUUCCAGAGCUUUGUGCCCGGUGGGCUCAUGGAGCGAUGCUGCCCUGCAUGCCUGAACAUGCAGUGACUGACCUUAUGCUUACGCCUACAAUACCCCUGGUGUUGCAGUUCUGGUGCCCAUGCUGUAACCCUCCUCUGAAUGUUAGUUGAGCUGGUGUUGUGACUGUAAAAAUCGUUGCUGAUUCUGCUAGGAAAAUUUGCUACUGCAUUUGAGAUGCUCAUGCUGAUAAUGCUGCUCGGAAUGUUGCAACAAUGUAAAUCUUCGCUUGCUCUGCUGUAACUCUGCUCCGGGUGUUUGCCAAUUGUGGUGAUGCUCUUUGAACAUAAUACAAUUUGAGGUGGCAGUCCAUUUCUGUAACUCUACUGCUAAUGUUAGCUGUUUGAGAUGAUGAUGGAACUAAGCCUUUGCUGAUGAUGCUGUAACCCUGCUCGGAAAGUCUGCUAGUUCAGCUGAGUCCAUUUCUGUAACUCUACUGCUAAUGUUAGCUGUUUGAGAUGAUGAUGGAAGUAAGCCUCUGCUGAUGAUGCUGUAACCCUGCUUGGAAAGUCUGCUAGUUCAGCUGUGUAAAUCGUUGUUCAUUCUGCUGUAACUCUGCUAGGAAUGUUUGCUAGUUGCGCUGAUGACGUAACUGUGUAAAUCUGUAAUUCUGAUCGGAACGUUUGCUAGUUGAACUUGAGAUGAUGAUGCAACUACGUAAAUCUUUGCUGAUGCUGCUUUAACUCUGCUCCGUGUGUUUGCCAGUUGUGCUGAUUCUGUAACCUUUGAACAUAGUUUUUUUUAGAGAAAAGUACUAUGGUCCCUCCGUAUGUUUUUAGUCUCUCAAAUUUACCAAAAGUCUGCAUAUGGCCCAUCAAGUUUUUUUGGUCUGACAUUUAAUCCCUCAUGUCUCAAAACCGAAUAAUUUUCGUCCAAAACCAGAAACCAAACUGUAUUGAGCUGACCUGUCCCGGUUUCGACUCGAACAGCUCGAGUUGACUGCAACCUCAUCU